GAGUCUUAAAGAAAGCUGCUAACUAUCUUAUAGCAAAUAAUUGAUUUGUUAGGCCCCCC
rnacentral:tRNA from 1 species